UACGUAGGGUGCGAGCGUUAAUCGGAAUUACUGGGCGUAAAGCGUGCGCAGGCGGUUCGUUGUGUCCGUCGUGAAAGCCCCGGGCUUAACCUGGGAACUGCGAUGGAAACUAGCGAGCUGGAGUGUGGCAGAGGGGGGUGGAAUUCCGCGUGUAGCAGUGAAAUGCGUAGAGAUGCGGAGGAACACCGAUGGCGAAGGCAGCCCCCUGGGCCAACACUGACGCUCAGGCACGAAAGCGUGGGGAGCAAACAGG
rnacentral:rRNA from 1 species